GUUGUGGCUCAGUGGUAGAGCGCUCGCCUAGCAUGUGUGAGGCCCUGGGUUCGAUCCUCAACACGACA
rnacentral:tRNA from 1 species